rnacentral:rRNA from 1 species
AUCUCAAGAUGAGGUCUCUCACUGGGUUAACCAGGUAAGGCCCCUCGUAGACUACGAGGUUGAUAGGCCGCAGGUGUAAGUGCAGCAAUGCAUUCAGCCGAGCGGUACUAAUAGGCCGAGGUCUUGAUCUC